CCUACGGGUGGCAGCAGUGAGGAAUAUUGGUCAAUGGCCGAGAGGCUGAACCAGCCAAGUCGCGUGAGGGAAGACGGCCCUACGGGUUGUAAACCUCUUUUGUCGGGGAGCAAAGCGAGUCACGUGUGACUCAUUGAGAGUACCCGAAGAAAAAGCAUCGGCUAACUCCGUGCCAGCAGCCGCGGUAAUACGGAGGAUGCGAGCGUUAUCCGGAUUUAUUGGGUUUAAAGGGUGCGCAGGCGGAGGUGCAAGUCAGCGGUCAAAUUGCGGGGCUCAACCCCGUACUGCCGUUGAAACUGCAUCCCGUGAGUGGGCGAGAAGUAGGCGGAAUGGGUGGUGUAGCGGUGAAAUGCAUAGAUAUCACGCAGAACGCCGAUUGCGAAGGCAGCAUACCGGCGCGCAACUGACGCUCAUGCACGAAAGCGUGGGUAUCGAACAGGAUUAGAUACCCUGGUAGUC
rnacentral:rRNA from 1 species